CCUCUAAAAACUUAAAAGUGUCACAUUUCAAAACACCAGCUUCUUUAGUAAACCGGUUUUUCUGUACAUAACCCAGACAGGCACCUCUCUGGGGCCCCCAUGGUUUGAGGAUGGCCACCUGGGGGAUGGGCUCUACACAAACAGGGUCAGCAUUCCACAGUGGAAAGUUAAGGCUUCACUCAUAUAGGCAGGAGCCGAGAUGUCGCAGAGUCAUACCGUUUUCCACAGACCAGUGUGUGCGCUAUGGCAAUAUGACCCAUUACAGAUGGCUGCACUCCACAAAGUGAAGAGCAAUGAUCUCAGGGGCCUCGUCUCUGGUGCAUUUGGUCGUUGACAGGGAAAGAAAGGCAGAGGUUGCGGCUGUAUGCUUCGUGGCUCCAGCUGCAUAGCUGCAUUCCUUCCAAGACUCAAUAUUUUCUGAGUGCUUUUUUAAAUUUUAGUUUCAGGGGGCACAUGUGCCCCUUUGCUACAUGGAUAUGUUGCAUGGUGUGGGGUUUGGGUUACUUUUGAACUCAUCACCCAAACAGCGAACAUAGUGCUCAAUAGGUAGCUUUUCAACCCUUGUCCCCUUUCUCCUUCCCUCCUCCCUUUUGGAGGCCAGAGUAAAGUUCCAAUGGCUUGAAGUUUGAAUUAAGUUUGACUUACUCAGUUUCACACAGCUUUAUAACCAAAGGCCACACAAUCAUGCCACCCCUUAGUGAGGAAAGCAAGGGGCUCUGUAGCAUCUUGGCUGUUAUGUGAGCGAUGUGCACUAAUGCAGCCUUCAUUUCAAGCUCUCCUCUCCUUCCUCUCAAUUCAGGAUCUGUCGAGGGGAAGGUGAUGGGCUGUGACACAGGUCACACUUACAGGAUCCCUGUAGCAUGGAAACAGAGCAGUGUCGUCUGAUCUCAAGGUGGUUAGGAUGUUUCCAAUUCCCAUGGAAAUUUUUUUACUAGUUCCUACCACAAAGCUGCUUACAUUUGCAGGCGGGUCGGGGGGUGGAAUCAAAUGGUCUCACCUGCAUUUUCAUUGCUAUGACCUCUUUUCUGGAUCUGAGAGGGAGUACAGCAGGUACCUGUCCCAGCUGGCGGGCCACAUCCCUGGCUCUCUGCUUGCAGAAGAGGUCCCAGGACACAGCCCUCGAGAAGCGUAGAGAGGGCACAACUGAGAGAUGCUUAAGGAAAAAGGGAGCCAGGUUAAAGAUCCAGUUGUUAACACCUGAGCCUAAUGUUACCACUAAUGGUGGAUGUCAGACACUAUGUGGCCCUGCUGUGCACAGGGGCCCAGGAGCUGCCCCGAAAGCAAGCAGCAACUUGGAUUAACUGAGCCUUUAGAUCCAACUUCUUGUUUGUAGGCAGUGCUAAGGAUGGAGGAGUGAGUUGAACACCUCAAACAACAGUGUGUUCAGGAAAAGCUGCGAGGGAAGGGACACAGGGGGCUCCUGUUUCCAACAUCAAAAGAUUUCAGAGAGAGAACCACCAUAUAUUAUGCAUGAUCAUGGUUGUGGGAAAAAACAGCUAAAAGGUACAUUCCAGACAAUUGGGAACAUAUAUAUAUAUAUGUAUGAGAUGAUACAGGAAAUUAAUUUUGUUAGGUGUGCCAAUCAUAUUUACUUAUGCAGGCAGCAUCUUUUUUUUUUUUUUUUUUUAGAAAUAUAUGUUGAAGUACUUGGGGGUGAUACGGUGUCCGUAAUUUACUUUUAAAUGGUUAAAUAUAUGUAUGGACACACAAAGCAAAUAUGACAAAUACAACCAUUAUUGAAUCUCAGUAGCUGAGUUUAUGGAUGUCCAUUGUACUAUAUACUUUUGCAUAGAUUUUAUUUUUCAUCAUAAAAAAAUUUAAAAACUGAAAUACUUGUCAACCCCCCCAUCUCAAAAAAGCCAAAAUGAAAUACACCUGGUUAAUUAUGAGAAUUAACCACUAUCUGAGGAUUAAGUGUGAUUUGUUUCUCUUCCUUCAUCCCACUGGCCUCAGGAAUGGAAAAUACUUUAAAGGGAGAAAAAACUAAAACUGUGACCAUGAGCCUCCACCCCAUCCUGUCCUGUCUGCUUCUUGUGUCAGAGCCACUAAGGGAAAAAUCACUAAAUUGUCACAAUGGCUGGGUGCAGUGGCCUACAACCCAGCACUUCGGGAGACUGAGGCAGGAGGAUCACUUGAGCCCAGGAGUUGGAGGUUGUACUGAGCCCUGAUCAUGCCACUGCAUUCCAGUCUGGGUGACACAGCAGGACCCUGUCUCUAAAAAGAUUUUUUUAAUAAAAACAAAAAAUAAAUGGUCACACAUUCCUAAAAUGCAUUAGGCUUUGCUGGGAGAUGGCCCUUCUAGUUCACCAUUGAGCUUAGCAUUUGCUGCUGUUAAAAUUAGAAUAACCUUUAUUCAGGAUGUGCUCCUCCAAGAUGAAACGGAUGUCCGAUUCUGGGAGCCGGAGGAACACGCUGCAAUGCACUUUCAGACUCUGCAAGGAAGAGUGGGCGGGCACACAGAAUCUCAGGAAGACGGUUCAGGGAGGCGGGGACAUUCAUCAUGUGUUUACCAUCGGCUCUGACAGCCCGGCUUGAAGCUUCCUUCUAAGGAUAGAGACUGAGCAGAGACUCCGUGUGUCCUGGGCCUCAGUGGAUAAAAUUAGAAUAUGCAGGAGCCUGGGCAAAUGAACCUAUGACCCUGGGCACCUGGCAGACUUUAAAAGCGAAUUCCAGGUACAAGUCUGUUUUUUUAAACAUCUGUCCAAGGCUGCCAUGGACCAAACUCCUAAAGAUACCUUGUUGCCCUAGAAAUGUCUCCAAAACUCAAUACCCCACUAGUUUUCCUACUCUGUGUAGAGACUUGGCUCCCACCUCCCUCAAUUACAUGACCUUCUUCCAUCAAAUCCACUCUCCACACAAAGAAGAAAACAGCACCUAAUUCUGAUGAAAACGUCUGGCCAUGGGAAAAAGCCCUGCAGGUCCCAGCCUUGGCCUUAAUGGAAGGCGGGGUUAGGGGUAUGACGACCCCCGCAAGAGCUGUGCUUCACCUCACACAACCUCCCUGGUCCUCACUCUGGGUGAGGUAGAAAUGCCACUGGCUCUACUUCCUGUUGAUAUGGGGACAUUGAUCCUCUCUAGGGUUGAGAACCAGGAUUUAGACCGAGAAAUGGACUUUAUGGCCUCAAGGGAGAAACAAGCAAGAGCAGAGCAGGAAAUGAACAAAAUGAACAGGAGGGGACCACAAUGGACAGUGGUUCACAGAAGAGGGCCUGUUUUAGAAGAAAGAAGAAGCCUCUUGGGUGUGGCACACAGGUGAGAGGAGCCAUGGGUCAGGGCACCAAGGAGCCAGCCAGGUGAGCAGGACCCUUGGUUGCACAGGUGCCCCAGGAUCUGCAAGAGGAUUCUAUGAAAGCGCAUGCUAGAAGAGGCUGCAGGUGAGCCUGCCCGAGAACACCUCCCACACGAGUUGCCCCACGCUCCCCAGGUUUGGCCCCUCCCCACUGGCUGUUUGGCAGUUCCAGCCCUGAAGCCCCUCGCCCCUCCUCACAGGGCCUCCCACCAUCCCCAACCCUGUCCUCACCCACCAGCUUCCUCAGCAAGCAAUUCGUUAAAGUGAAUCAAUUUUAAAGAGUAUUAAGUAUGUUAUAGCACAGAUAGCACUCGCGUUACAAAAAUGAGAAAUCCAAGAACUGCAGUUCAGAAGGCCCAGCCCCAACCACACCCCCUGACUUUUCUCAUGUAAAUGGGAGGGCGUUUCAGAACCCCACUGGCACAUGCUGCCGGGGUAGGGCUCCUCCCUUCUGCUUCCAGUGCCUUCUGCUCCCUGGGCCCAGUGCUCAGCCAUGGGAGGAGCCAGUGCAGCUGUCACGCGGGCAUCUCCUGUGGGCGUCUUGUGAGGGGGGCUGUCAUGCGGUGGCUGCACAGGAAGCAGCCAUGGUAUCUGGGGCUGGGAGGCAGCCAGCACGGGACCCAAACCUGGGCCCUACAAACCCUGGUGACCAUGUCCCAGUGGAAGCACCACCCUGGGCCAAGACCCUGAAACACUAGAGAAGCUUUGGGAAGGUGCUUUCAUGUAGAAUGGAGGGAGACAAAGUGGCUUCCUGGCACUUGGGUGGGAGGUGGCAGGGGCUGCAUGCAGACCUGGGAUGCAGGCCUGAAAGCUCCAUCUCCUCCACCAAGAGCACCCCAGACCCCGACCUCAGCAGC
rnacentral:lncRNA from 1 species